CAGAGUCGACUCCAAAAACUCUUCUCCAAAACCCAGUGCUUCCCAUUAAUUCCUGACUCUUCAUAUGUUCACCUAAAUUUCUUCCCACUCGUUCCAACUCUUUUUCCACAUGAUCCAAUUUCAAUCUCAAAAACAAUAAAAUCCCUUCAAUUAUUUGUUUCUCAGAUCCCAAAGCCUCAUCCCAUCUCACCAUUCAUCUUGCAUCACUCAAUUCCACGUCACCUCCCAGCUAACCUCGAGUGAUUUCCUUAUCCAAACAUCCGCAUGAAUCCAUGCGAUUUCCCAGCAUCUUCCUUCUCCCUUGGAAUCACAUCCACGUUGAUCAUCUUCCAAUUCUUCCACUAGAUUCCACGCUUAUCCCGUUCGGAUUGGUUCCAUCUUCACGGGAUAAACUCAAAUCCCAUCUUCUUGCUUGAUCCCAUGGAAAAUCCCGAGUCUCCACAUCCUCCCCUGCUUCGGAACAGAUCCCAGCAAUCAGAUUGAUCCCAACUCACGAUUCAACGCAACCGUAUCAUCCUUCCCAAUCUUAUCCUCCCAGCAUCCCAAACAACUAAAUCCAAAGAUUUCCUUCAACCGUGAUCUUCCCUUCAUCCCGUUCAGAAUCAUUCAUUCUCUUCCCCUGUUUCAAGGAUCAACUUCCAGCCGAAUCCAAACUUUCCUCCAUCCACGGGAUGAAUCCAAAUCCCAGCUACUCCGCGACUGAAGCAGCACCACUUUCGUUUGCCUACCUCCCGCGAUGCAUACGGCUGCUUCUCCCGUGUGUUCCAGCUCAUUCCUCCCGUGAGUCAUCUCCAAAGCUUCCGAUCAGAUCUCCCACAAACAGAACCAAACCAGCGCUCAUCAUGAUCUAUCCUCUUCUUCAUCCAAACCGAAUCCCCUGUUUCUCCGUGACUCCCUCCACGUCCACGAACAAGAGCCCUUCUGCAUUUAAAGAACAAGCUCACUGAUCCGGAUUCGUUCCAAGAUUUUCU
rnacentral:lncRNA from 1 species